rnacentral:rRNA from 1 species
UACGUAGGGUGCAAGCGUUGUCCGGAAUUAUUGGGCGUAAAGAGCUCGUAGGCGGUCUGUCGCGUCUGCUGUGAAAACUCGGGGCUUAACCCCGGGCCUGCAGUGGGUACGGGCAGACUAGAGUGCGGUAGGGGAGACUGGAAUUCCUGGUGUAGCGGUGAAAUGCGCAGAUAUCAGGAGGAACACCGGUGGCGAAGGCGGGUCUCUGGGCCGUAACUGACGCUGAGGAGCGAAAGCACGGGGAGCGAACAGG